rnacentral:rRNA from 1 species
AUACGUAGGGAGCGAGCGUUGUCCGGAAUUACUGGGCGUAAAGGGCGUGUAGGCGGGGAUUUAAGUAGGGUGUGAAAACUCCGGGCUUAACCUUGAUCGUGCCGCGGAAACUGACGGUCUUGAAUAGGGAUGCCGUUGGCGGAAUGUGGAGUGUAGCGGUGAAAUGCAUAGAUAUUCCACAGAACACCGAUUGCGAAGGCAGCUGACGAAUCCCCGAUUGACGCUGAUGCACGAAAGUGCGGGUAUCGAACAGGAUUAGAUACCCUGGUAGUCCACGCGGUAAACGAUGAAUGCUAGGUGUUGCGGGUAUCGACCCCUGCAGUGCCGGAGUAAACACAAUAAGCAUUCCGCCUGGGGAGUACGGCCGCAGGGUUGAAACUCAAAUGAAUUGGCGGGG